UCUAUCGAGCCUCGAAACAAUGUAACAGGAGCGAAUCGUUCGUCGUGAACAGGUGACUCUCCCGGCACGAUACACACGGCGUACAUACGUAUUAUAGUUUUUAAACGCUAAGAAACAAAAUCUCCUUAGUCAAUAAAUAACGUAAGUACAUUUUCAUACUGAUCAUGGAAAACGAAGGAAUUUCAUGUGUCAUGUGGAGGUCGGCCGUUGGUGUGAUUCUUUUCUCAGUAAAAGUUCCUCGCAAAUUUUUUCUUGGUGCUUUACUAAUCAUUUCUCUUACCAGUCGUUACGAUAUAGUGAUUUUAAGAGUGAUUGCUCCUUCGUUUCGUGUAUAUCGGUGAUAGACGAAUUAUAAAUUAACCAUUGUCAUUAACAUCACCGAAGUUAUAUCAAUUAAUUGUCAUUCUCUCUCUCUCUCUCUCUCUCUCUCUCUCUCUCUCUCUCUCUCUCUCUCUCUCUCUCUCUCUCUCUCUCUCUCUCUCUCUCUCUCUCUCUCUCUCUCUAAAUAUUAUAGCACGUUUCUUUUUUCUUUUAAUUACGUCAGUUUUAUAAAUAAGAAGUAUUCCAAUCGUAUAACGAAUGAAUGUUACUCUAUAAUCAAUAAUUUUUAAAUACGAUUAAAUCAAAUACGAUUCAAGAAUAAACAGUAAAAAUAAACAGUUAAUAUAGUACAUUAUAUAUAGGUUGAACGUAACGUCGAUCUGUAACAUCAUCAGUCAUUUCGAGUAAACGUAAAUACGUGCUAUCACGAUAAAAAAGAGAGGGAGGCUUGCAAAUAAAGGCAUUGACGAUAGCGAGCUUGUACACGAUCUAAUCGGCCUACCUAACUGAACCGUAUCUCUUUUUAUAGUCGAUAGAACGAUUUACGAUUCUAAUGUCAUCUUAAACGGCCGACAACGAACGUUUGACUAAUGAUUUUUCUCUUUUUAGCAGUCUCUUUGUACAUCUCAUUCGGAAAACUACAAAAUAAUAUAUUAGAAGUUGAAUUCGUUAUCCGUUCAAACUGUAAUGUAUCAAUUAACGUGCUCUUUCAAAAAAUAUAAAAGAUGAGUACAAUAAAAAAAUCAUCAAAGUAGUGAAUCAAACGCAUUUCUUUACAAAUCGUUAUAAAACUAAAAAUAAUAAGACGAAGAUCGAUAUAAAAGUUUAACAGGAUCAUCUUCGUGGUCGUUCGCGCGAGCACUAUACUCCGAAAAUGUUUCUGUAUCGGUAUAGAGGGAAAGGCAAAAGAGAGAGGGAGUAAAAUGGGCAGAAGGUCUCGCGGGAGCAAUAACCGUAAAACGCGCGAGAGUGUAUGCGUGUAUGUGUGUAUAUGGGCGAUGUGUGUGCGUACGAGUUAGUAUUUGUGAUGGGUGGUUAAAGUGUCAGGGCGAAGGCAACGAUACAAGUUCGAGAUGCAUGGUACUCGAGAGCGAUCGAGAUCUAAGGGGAAAGCUGAUGGAUCGAGUGUGAGCAACGAAUAAAGCAGCUGUCCGAUAGAGAGAGAGAGAGAGAGAGAGAGAGAGAGAGAGAGAGAGAGAGAGAGAGAGAGAGAUUGAAAUAGUAAUAAUAUCGCGUUGAUCCAAAAAAAUAGAUACGAUAGAAGAAAAAUAAAGAUAAUGAUGUAAUCAACUAUGUAUUUAAUAUUACAAUAAAAAUGUAAUGUUUAAGAAUUACGACCGAUGAAAGAAAUAAAAAAGAGAAAAAAGAAAGGACGAUCGAAAAUAAAAGCUCGAUAGAUCGUUAGCGAAGGAAUCAAAAAUCGAUCGAUUUUCCGCGUGGUCUCGAAGCGAAAGUCCAGCCCUCGAGUUUCGCGAUAUUCGACGUAUACCUAGAGGGACAACCACCCUUGCCACCCCCGUCGUUCACUCGAACGCGAAUGUGCGAGCGGUCGGGCUUCUAUAACGUACAGCGAGAGUAUGCGGAGGGAGCGAGAGACAGAUUAAUGUGACCCCGUCACCGUUCGAACAAAGCUUCGCACAAUGGCCGCACACACCGGGGACAGUGGACGGUCGCAACGACGCUCGCAACGACCUUCGCUUACGGAUGGCUGGGAUGGUAGCUUUGCUGGGAGGAUCGGACGAAUGGCACUCGGCUGAUACCAAGCGGACAAACCCAAGCUGGAUGCUAGAAUCACCUCUUAAGAAUACACAUGCCCCAGAAGGACGAACGAGCGAAAUGGUAGAAUUAGUAUUCUCUUAGGAAAAUAAAAAUGACCAAUGGACGACAAUGAAUGGACGUUUGGAUUAGAAUUGACAGGUUUGUAUAUCAUGAAAUAAAUCGAUGAAUAUCGGAACGAUUUUGAGCUAUCCGACAAAUCGACAGAGAAAGAUACUCGAUAAGGGGAUACACGGAGUUUCCAUUCGUCUUACCUUAGCGAAUCGGAGGUCUGCCGGCUGUCAGGAUAAAGGAUGUUUAGGACAGUUGGCUGAGUUCGACGAUCGAUGAACCUCUUCUUCCUGUCAAAACACCACAUACAACGGUUACCGUUCCUUUUAAGAGAUAUGGACAACUCUCGAGGGAAGAAAUUGUAGGACGAUGAAUCAAGAGUGAAAAGGUGUCGAACGAUGGCUGUCGGCCAUUAUUG